CUGAAUUCUCUUGUUGGUAUAGAGACUCUUGUGUCUGAAGCUUCAGUGCUAUACCUUCUUCAUAGCUCUAUUAGAACCUUGAAAGGCAGGUUACCAACUGCCAUGAGUUACCUCUGGACUUUACCCUACAGGGUCAGUAAUUCAAUGUAUCUCAGAAAUGCUGGUCUCUGGAGGUUUUCCUGUCUGACCCUGAGGAGCUGGAUUCUUCAAUCUUCAGUCCUGAGGUACAAAUAUCGUGCAGCCCUCAUCUGCUUUUUAAUGGAUUCAUCAAAAGCUUUCCUAAACAGCAGCUCCC